CAGCAGCCGCGGUAAUACAGAGGGGGCAAGCGUUGUUCGGAAUUACUGGGCGUAAAGGGCGCGUAGGCGGCCUGUUAAGUCGAACGUGAAAUCCCCGGGCUCAACCCGGGAACUGCGUCCGAUACUGGCAGGCUUGAAUCCGGGAGAGGGAUGCGGAAUUCCAGGUGUAGCGGUGAAAUGCGUAGAUAUCUGGAGGAACACCGGUGGCGAAGGCGGCAUCCUGGACCGGCAUUGACGCUGAGGCGCGAAAGCCAGGGUAGCGAACCGGAUUAGAUACCCGGGUAGUCCUGGCCGUAAACGGUGCGAACUAGGUGUGGGGAUCCUUUGGAUCUCCGUGCCGAAGCUAACGCAUUAAGUUCGCCGCCUGGGGAGUACGGCCGCAAGGCUAAAACUCAAAGGAAUUGAC
rnacentral:rRNA from 1 species